rnacentral:misc_RNA from 1 species
AAAUGGCGAUGAUGAUGGCGAUGAUGAUGGUGAUGAUCAUGGUGAUGAUCACCAUCAUCAUCAUGGAGUUUUACAUCUACAUAA